rnacentral:lncRNA from 1 species
AAAGUUCUAGCUAUGUUUAGAACUGGUGUUGGUUGGGAGGUUCUGGUGAUUGAGGGUGGGAUUUCAGAGGUAGUAAAAAUUGGUUGAGAGGAGAAUGUUUAGAACUGGUGUUGGUUGGGAGGUUCUGGUGAUUGAGGGUGGGAUUUCAGAGGUAGUAAAAAUUGGUUGAGAGGAGAGAGGGUUAGAGGAAGCCAUUAUAGAUUCAGAAGAGACAGGAGGAACUGACUUACCAGAGGAGACAUUCAGAGGUGCUGAAGCUUUGCUGCCAGAAGUUUCUCCAAGUCUGGCUUU